rnacentral:misc_RNA from 1 species
AUCCCUCAAAUCCCAAUGUUUUUUUAAAAAGAAGCGUUGCUUGGAUUUGGUUGUGGGCCCUUGCAGUCUUUCACGAGUCUGCUGGCCUUAAAGAUAUUAGCUGGACCUCUCUAAUCUCUAAGCAGAGUACUUCCAUUUGAUGUAAUAAAAUUGCAUUGGUGGAAGCUCGACUUGGUACCUAGAGGAAGUCUGCUUCUUAACCCGGCGCGAGUGGCAACACUCAACCCACUAUUUCAUAACU